GGCCCGAGUUGUAAUUUGCAGAGGAUGCUUCUGGCGCGGUGCCUUCCGAGUUCCCUGGAACGGGACGCCACAGAGGGUGAGAGCCCCGUAUGGUCGGACACCAAGCCUGUGUGAAGCUCCUUCGACGAGUCGAGUAGUUUGGGAAUGCUGCUCUAAAUGGGAGGUAAAUCUCUUCUAAAGCUAAAUACCGGCCAGAGACCGAUAGCGCACAAGUAGAGUGAUCGAAAGAUGAAAAGCACCUUGAAAAGGGGGUUAAAUAGUACGUGAAAUUGUUGAAAGGGAAGCACUUAUGACCAGACUUGGGCCGGGCGGCUCAUCAGGGGUUCUCCCCUGUGCACUCCGCCCGGCACAGGCCAGCAUCGGUUCUCGUGGGGGGAUAAGACCGUCAGGAACGUAGCACCCUCCGGGGUGUGUUAUAGCCUGGCGGACGAUACCCCCGUGGGGACCGAGGUCCGCGCAUUGCAAGGAUGCUGGCGUAAUGGUCAUCAGUGACCCGUCUUGAAACACGGACCAAGGAGUCGUCCAUUAGAGCGAGCGUUUGGGUGUAAAACCCGCACGCGUAAUGAAAGUGAACGCAGGUGAGAGCUUCGGCGCAUCAUCGACCGAUCCUGAUGUUCUCGGAAGGAUUUGAGUAAGAGUUUUAACGGACGGACCCGAAAGACAGUGAACUAUGCUUGAAUAGGGUGAAGCCAGAGGAAACUCUGGUGGAGGCUCGCAGCGGUUCUGACGUGCAAAUCGAUCGUCAAAUUUGAGCAUGGGGGCGAAAGACU
rnacentral:rRNA from 1 species